GUACUAGGCAAGCGUUUGGGAGGUUUGCUAUCACUACCUGUCAGCUGUUACUCUCUUUGGCAGUGUCACUCUGGACUCUGGUUUCACUUGUGUUUAUUUAUAUUUAUUUUUGUUUUGCUGUACUUUUUACUGGAAAAUUCACGAUAAAAUAGUUGUAGGCAGUGGUUUGGCAUAAGUUGCCCAUGCUCGCAAUAGCUAUCCUGAUCUUGUGAUGGAUUGGAAAUCAGGUCAUCCUGGGGCCGUAGUCUGAACUUGGCUUGAGCGUCAAGCCAAUCUGGAUGGCCAUGUCAAGUCAAUGGACGCCAAUCUGGAUUGAUACUCAAUCCAAGUUCAGACUACGGCCCCUGGCUUGCACAUUCAUUGAAAGAAACAAUCAAUACUUUCUGUGGACUAAAGUAAAGGAAAAAAAAUAAGAAUUGCAAUACAAAUGAAAUCCAAUUAUUUCGAUUACCUCUGUUGUGACGAAAUUAUUUCCUGAACCAUACUCUCUCCAGCAAUGGGCUUAUUGUUUACUUCUUUCCUGCAGCCUGUGAAAUGGAGGGG